GCUCCAGGGGCAGAACGGCGGGCAGACUUUCUCUGGGUGAAGUCGAAGCUUCUUGGGCUACCCUCAUGCUCUGAGUCAGAGUUCCUUUACAGGUGGACCUGAGAGGUGACUCACCAACUCCUGCCCUGGACCCUCCUGCGCCACUGAACCCCCUGACCUGGGGGCCUCGGAACCUAGGGCUCAGGAAGUGGGGCGGCCGUGGGUCCCAUCAGGCUUUCCCCUCGGAUCCUCUCCAGGAUGAACCAGGACUUACCUGAGGUUACCAAGUGAACUUCUGGGAAAAGUCCAAUUCUCAGAUGCUAGAUGUCUUCCAAAAAUGAAGCAAAUUUGUAACUUA